rnacentral:tRNA from 1 species
GCCAGCUUAGCUCAGUGGUAGAGCUGCUGAUUUGUAAUCAGCCGGUCGUUGGUUCAAAUCCGACAGCUGGCUCCA